GAAUAUUCCCAGACAAUUUAUUAUCAUCCAAAAUCAAGUGAUUCAAAUAAACGCAAUUGGUGAGACCAGCUGGAAUUUCACCAGAUAAUUCAUUAUGGGACAAAUCUAAAGUAACCAAAUAAGGCAACCAAGUACAAAUUUGAGGUGGUAUCGAACCCGAGAGGAUAUUACCGGAGAGAUCAAGAUUCUGGAGGUUGUAGCAGAACUGUAAAGAAGCCGGGAUUUUUCCGGCGAGGCUGGAGUCCCGGAGUUGCAGGCUGAGAAGCCGAUUUUCGCGGCCGUUCCAACACGUAACCCCAUCAAAAUUACAGAUGAAUCCAACGGAAGAAUUCGAGAACUUCCAUGAAUUAAGCUUCCCUGUUGGGUCAGUCAAUGAGUUUUUCACUUCCUUCAAGCACUUAAUGUCGUCUUCUGAGAAAACCCAGUUCGAAAAAAGCAGGAAAAUUAGCAGAAGAGAAGUGAAUGUGGAUCUGAACAGAGGAGGAAGCAUAAUUAUUGAUGAGGGCGAAGAAAUUGGUGGGUUUUGCUCUUGUGGAGUUUUGUUGGUGUCCUUUGUGGAGUGAUUGCAUGAGAAUUCAAGUGGUUUUUCAAUGUAAAAAUCGAGGAUGGCAUUUUGGCAUUGACUUCACGUCCGUGUAGAAUGGUUUUGGUAGAUAUUAACAUUAACGUGUAUGGUUCGCAGGAAUUUACUAGUCAAAGCUUGAUAUCGAGAAUGCUUACCAAAGUAAAGUAGGACUUUGGAUACUUUCAGUUUGUUUGGGAGCGAUUUUUUGCCUCAAAAAAUUGAUUUUUUUACCGUUAUUUCACUAUUUCAACCGUCAUAUUUGACUUCUUCUCUCACAGAUAGACCCCACUUUUUUUCGAACGGUCAAAAAAUCAAUUCUCAAAAUCAUUCUCAAACAAUCUCUUUGAUGGGUACAUGUGGUUUUAAAAUUUGAUUAUCAUAAAUCGCGUUAUUAAGAAGUUUUACAAAAAUUAGGUAUUAAUUAAAAGGGAAAAAAAUAUAAUUAAAGAGUUUGAAGGAUCACUCAUUUCAAAACUAAAAACAAAAGUUUCAAAUUUCAAAAGUUAGAUAUUUAUUAAAAUUUAUUUAUGAUUUAAUUAAUCAAUUAAUUAAAUAUAUUAAGGUCACAGAUAUAUACAAUUUGAUCGCAAAUUAACGAUUUAAUUAAUUACUUAUUAUUUUUUAUCACAAAUUAAAAUUUUUAUAUAUCACAAAUUAUUUUAUGAUCACAAUUCAAAAAAUUUAUAGAUCACAAUUUGUUCAUCGGUCACAAAUCACGAAUAUUAUAAAUUACAACUUAUCAUACCGUUAUAAAUUAUCAAAUUAUUGCUCACAAAUUAUCAGUUUUUUAGAUCACAUAUUAUUUAUUGAUCAUAAUUUAUCUUUUUCAUUGAUCACAUUAUUUAUUGGUCAUAGAUUAACCAAUGUAAUGUUUACAGUCAAUCAAAUAAUUUGUGAUCAACAAUUGCGACCGCCAUCCAUUGCACCUACAAUACACCACCACUACCAUAUCCUUUAUCUCAAUCUAUGACACAAGCACAACCCCACCAAAAAAUUCACAAACCCAUCACCAUCACCACCGCACACUAUCACUACCACCACCACCUCUAAAACCACAACAAAACAUCCAGCAGAAUCACCACAUAAAAUACCGUAAAAUCACUGUAGAAACCUCUAUUGUCGAUUACAACGCUAUAGAAAUCUCCACAAGCAGCGCUAUGACUCGAAAAGUCGGAGAAAAGUUCAAAUAGCCGCUGUGAUUCGUUGCGUAGGAAAAAAAUUCAGAUCUACAGGCGGUAGCAAGCAAAACUAUAGAGGGGCGACACCGCACCUCAACCCCCCCCCCCCAGAGCAGGACAACAUGAUAACAUUGUGCCUUAACUCUGACCUUUGAGGCGCUGCACAUAAGCAUGUAGAGGCAUUGCGCUGCAGCUACUCCUCCGAUGUUGUGCCUCAACGUCUAAGAUUGGUGUAUUGCCGAAGAAGAGAGAGAGAGAAUUAUGGAAAGAAGAGAAGUGGAAAAUAUUUAAGAUUUAAACUAUUUUACAAACUAUCUACCUUACGAAAAGCUACAAUAAAUUGAUUCAAAACCAGAAAGCUUCAUUUUAAAGUUUGCUACAAUUCUUUUUUUACUACUAAUAUUAUACUUUCUUCCUAGUGAUUUUUCAUUCCUAACAUAGCCUUCUUAAAUUCAUAAAAUAAUUAUUUGAUUAAAACUUACUAUUAAAAUUUUCAAUCGGGCUAUACGUACAGGAAUUUUAAAUGGCUCUUUUGACGAAAAAUAUACAGGAAUUUUAAAUGGCUAAUUUGGCAUAAAAUCACAAUAAAAUGACCAAAAACCCAGGGCAAAAACGAAAGGGCAACCCCACUGACUAAACCCAAACGAAUUUUCCCAUUUCCCCCAAUUGAGUUUGUUGGACGUCACGACUUCUCCCGCAACCAAGUUGGCCGCUGCAGUCAUCGUCAUCGGCCACCGCACUCACCUCCUUCCCUAGCGCUACAGUCACCGCAACCACACAUCCAUCCCCUGGCAUCAAUGUAAGUGUUUGUGGAGUUGUUGUUUGACAUGGGUUCUCAGCUUUUUACAUGAUUUUUUUAUAAAUACCACGUUUGAAUGUCCAAAGUUUUCCCAUUAUACAAGUUUGGAUUUUGGAUGUUGAUUAAUCUUUGUUUGAGUAAGUUACAUUUAUUACGAGACUUGUUGAUUUAUGAAGAUGGGUGCCACCAUUUUAGUUUUGUUGGUAACUCGGUUUUGCAUAAGUGUCUUCAUUGAUAGUUGAAUUUCGGCACCCGUUGGUUUAAUGAGGAAAUCAAGAAGGAAUUUCCUGCACCGAUUGUUCUACAUGUAUUAUGAGAAUUGUUCUUGUUGUUUAAUGAAGAAGAAUGUCCUACACCGGUAACAAAGGGCGAUUGUUCUUUACCUGUAGUAAUGAAUGCGGGUACUUUGAUUGGGUGAAAGAUGAAGAUUUAGGCGGGGAAUCGAGUUCCAUUCAGCAUGCGGUCAAUCAGGCGCCCGACAAGGAAGACGAAGGGCUGCCAAGACUCUUUGAUGGGCUAGCUACAAUUAGCGAGAAACGAGGCGUAUCACUGCACAUAACUUUUAGCAAGGAAAAGGGAAUUGCUAAUUGUGAUGGGAAAGGAAAGAGGUCGAAUUGAGGGGGUGAUUUGAGUCAUGUCAUCGGUUGAAGCACCAGUACAAUGUGAAUUUCAAUUUGCAUAACAAUAUAUUGGUCUUAUGCAUGUCUAAUCUGUAUUUCACGGUGGUUUGUAAGACAAAAAUUUAUGACAAAUAUAGCCUAAUUGACAUGUUCAUAAAUUCGUAUGUUUGUGCCCCCUCACUUUAAUAUUGCAUCCGUGGUCACAUUUGUUUCACAUUUAAAUCCUGAGAAUUCAAAAGCAACUUGUUUCACAUUUCAAUCUCGGGAUUCCCAUUCUUUGGGAUAUAAUGUAAUUGGAUCCCCAUUUUGAUAAAGUCUUGUACACUGCAAGAAGAAUUCAUGAAAUGUCAAAUAUCUCAUAACUCCAUCUUUCCCUUUUUUUGAAUUCCUUUUUCGCACUGGAAAGCCAAUGUCAUGAGCAUAUUUUUUGUAGAAAUCAAACAUUUUCUUAUCAUCACUAAAUGUCAUACCCAUCUUAGGCACUAACGCCACAUCUUCUCCUACAUUUUCAUUUUCCAACAUAUUUAAAUUCUCCACAACGUUCUCGUUAUCAGAUUGAAGCAACAAAUCAGGAUUCAUAUCUUCCAUAAUUUUGUUUCCUACCACAGAAAUUAUAAGAAGCAAUCAAUGCACCAAAUAAACCCAAAACCCAUCAAUAAUUGAAGGCCAAACGCAAUUCUGGAAAAUAUAAGGAAAUGCACAAAAUACAGACUUCCGGAAUAUAUAUUUAUUUCAAUUCCGUCGUCUUUGUUUUGUUUGGAAAUAUAACUUACAUUUUUCCACAUUCCAUUCUAUGCACAAUUACAUGUAUUUAGCUAAUAUGCAAAAUAUCUACAUUUGUUGCAUGCAAUUUUACAUAGAAAAUCAUGUAAAUAGACUCGAGCUUUUCUGGGUAACACAGCCAAAAGUCAACACAUUUAAAGACAUUAUUAGAAUAUGAAACCAUUGAAACUUCUGAAGUCGGAGAUUCACUGUGAUCAUCAAUAUAAUUGUCGAAAUUUUUGCUAUGAAGGCCAAACUGGAAAAUAUAAGAAAAUGCACAAAAUACGUAGUUUGGUCAGAAGAUGCUAGAAAUGCUUACGAGGGGAGGAAGCUGGAAAUGAAAAGGUGUUAAGGUACAAUCUUCAUUUCCAUAACCAUGUCAACUCCAUUUCUUUGAACCACCAGCGAAAUCGAAAUGGGUAUCAAUCGCUCCAAACAACCGCUUGUACGGUGGCUUCUUAGCCGGAGAUGGUCCCCGACACCGAUGAAUCGAGAUGGGUAUGAGCAACGAGCAAUGGAUGGCGACUUGGACAACGCUUUGGGAGGGAAGGGCUGCUGGGUUCUAUUUUGGAAAGGAAAUAAAUGUGUCUUCCCGGUAGAACCCACGUCCCCAAAUUAAUUUUUGAGCCUUUGAUGUUUUCUUUAUUUUUAUUUUUUUUCCUCUUUGCCACGUAAGCCGAAUUCAAAUUCCUAUGAGUUUCUUGUCAAAACCCCUCUGUACCUAGAGCUUUUUUCAUCUUUGAAGCUUAUUAAGGUCCAGUUUGAGUCACAUUAAUAUAAAAAUGAGAACGAAAAAUAUAAUCAUUACAAGUCUCAUACAAGAGAUAGAAAGUCAAAUAUGAUGACUUGAUGUGAUGAUAACGAUUAUAUUUUUUUAUUUUAAUGAGCAAAUAAUGAAAAACAAAGGGCUAACCAUAUAAAGAAAAAACUUGCGUCCUUUUGUGUAUGGGAGCGGGAGUAAACCUCCAGCUAUGGCAGUUUCAUUAUCUCUCGUAAAAACUCGACCUCUCUCCCCGCUACAUAGCAACUGUACCAGUUCGUUUUGUCCCAAUUUUCCUCUCAGUUUGCCCUCAAAUUGCAACUGCAAAACUCGCCACCGCCCCCAAUUCGUCAUUACUUUCUCUUAUAGUAAGCAGCUCAAAUUCCCGAUAUGCAUUCAUUUUUUCGUCUCAUUCCUUGUCUACUUUGCAAAAAGAAAAGAAACUAAACCUCAUCUAUGUUGAUUGCUGAGUCUUGGAAUUUUUCUUAAUUCUUCACUGUGUUCAUAUUUAAGUGUCCUGGUAUUUUACUGUCACUCAUCGCCUAGUUUGUUUUAGAACACUAACUUUUAGAAUCUAAUUGCUCUUUUGCGAGCUGUUGUUGUUUGAGCUUAUCUGGUACUGAUUAUUAUUUUCACAUAUAAGCAACUUGGAACUUUAACACUAUACAAUGAUAUAUCAUAAUCAAGGAAUGGAGUCGUUGCUACUGACAAGAAAAGGGAAUUGCUUGAAAGUUACGGCCUUAAUCCGGUAAUCCCGACAAAUUUUUAUCGGAACCCUCUCCCAAGGUCGAUUCUCUCUCAUUAUCCUUUUUUUAAAUGCAAGCGUGGAUAUUUGUAUGUGAUAUGAGUGAAGUGUAUUGAUUGAUUAUUUUUGUUUCAUUUUAUAGAUAAAGAGGAGAAAAGAGCGCACAAAGAUGGGAAUGGGAAAUGAAGUACUUUUGGAGGAUCCGAAACCUCCUAGGGAUACUCACAAAUUGCUUCAGGUUUGAAUGAACUAAGAAAAGCAUUAGUCUUCAUAUCAAGUGGAGGAUUUCUUCUCAAAACUGUUACAUCUGUUGGAAUGAGCUUAUUAGGCAUUUGAUAUCUGGAUGUGAAUUUAUUUUCCCUUAGUUCACUGUGAAGUUAAGCUUAUAAAUAGAAGGAUAAAAAGGAUGACAGAAGGAUAAUGUUCGGCCGGCUUACUUUAAUGACAUAAUGCUUGAUGUGUGCUCAAGCAUUAUUCUUCGGCAUUCAGCAGUGUAGUUUUAAGAGAAAUUGUGAUGUAUUGUUGUUUGCUUUGCUACUGUACAAACUGAGCUGGAUGUCUACUUCUCAUUUCAAGUGUAUAAUUGCAGCUGAUUUGUUACCCUUUGUAUGUGGACCUUUAAUUUGGGUUUUGUCUGGGAAAUAAGUUUCACAUGAACUUUCAUGGCUUUAUAGGUUCUUGGAGGGACUGCUCGAAGAAAGAAAUUGCUCUCACCACUCACCAAAGGGCAUGGAUGUGCGACCAAUGAUGGAAGUUGUAAAGGGAGCGGCUUUCAGCAAAUUGCAGGUGAAUCCUGCUCUAGAAUUUUGAACACAAUUUUCCUCUUUUAAUUGGAUAAGGUGUUUUGACUUCUUUAUUUGCACCGGAACAAUUAGAAAGCAAAGAAUGGUGUAAUACUUCUACUUGGUUAUUAAGAACUUGCUGUUUUAUCUUUGUGGAAGCUGCUGGUGGCUGUCCUUCAUCUCUAAGGCCUGGACGCUGAUUGGACUUGUAUAGUGUUACGGGAUCUGUUGGUAUUGAAGCUAUCAGUCGAGGAUGCUCUGAGGUGCCCCUACAAAUUCAUUAAGUUUAAUUUUCUAUACACUCAGCUUAAUUUGAUUCCUUUACUCUUUGCUAAAUAGUUAUGAUCUUGAAUUGAUUGCUUUUCCUUUUGCUGAAUAUGAUUCAAGGAUCCUGAAGGCUCUCCUCUUCUGUUAGAUAUUACCAUCUGACUUGGUGAUAUAAUCUUUUGGCUUGGGUCUUUACUUGACCUGGUCAUAUUGUUCGAUCUAAACAUUUUCCUGGCUUCAUUUGCAUAUUCCCAGGCGCAUUUUGUCGAAAUGGAUUCUUGGGUUAUCUCAGAUUUUCUACGUCCAAAUUUAGAAUCAACUGGUUUUCUUGACGCAUCGGUUAUCCAUGCUGUUCGUGUUGAAAAUUUCUUGAAACUUGCGGAACAGUUUUUAGGUACAUGUUUUUCCUUCCUCAGUCUUCUCACAUUCUAAAAAUCAGUACAUUAAUGUACAUAAUUGCUGUGAACUGAAUUACAAAAAUUUUAACAAGAAUUGAGUCAAACUAAUUUCAUUUAUUCUUGGUGAUCCACCGUCUUAUAUUGUUGCACUACUCUUGUUGUGUAGAGUUCUUACGUUUAAGGAUCUCUUAGAUGUAGGUAAAAUGGAGAAUUUGAUUACGUGAGUGUUACACCUCCAUACAUGCUUGUAGAUUAUGCAGUACUGAUGAAUCAAAUUUCGAAUUCGUCGGUAAUUGGAGAGAAUACCUUUAUAGUAAGUUGGCUUCAUUUCUUUUACUUGACACAACCGUCUGCUUCUCUCUUUUAAUCUGUUUAUAAACUCCCAAUGCAUCUCAGGUGGUCGAGUAUCCAUUGAGAACUGACAUUUUGGAUUCAUGUGGCUGCCUUAUAAAGGUAUGUUGCAUAUCUCUUUAUCGAAUAAUGUUAUAUCUAAUUUCAUCUUAUGUAACGAAUUUAGUUACUUAAUUGAUUGCUUGAUUAUUUUGACAAUGUAGAUAGCUGAUAGGCGAUUUGGUCGAACCCAUCUAGCAAUAUAUGGACCACAGUGGGCUCAGAAGAAGAGAAAGUCAGGGACAUGAGGGGGGUUUUUUCUUUUUCUUAUUUUGCUUUCUUUCUUUCUUUCUUUCGUUUUCAAUUUUUCAAUUUUUUUUAUUUUUUAUUUUUUUAUUUUUAGGUGAGAAUUGAGCUAGUGUCCAAAGUAUAUAAAUUUGUAACUUUAAUAUAUUUAAUUAAUAAAAUAUAUAAUUAAAUAAUUAAAUAAUAAAUUAAAUAUAAUAAAUAUCUUAUUUUUGAAAUUUGAAACAUUUAUUCUUAGUUUUUGAAAAUGAUAAAUACUUAUCUUCUUAGUUUUGAAAUUUUCCCUUUUUCUUUUUCUUAUUUUGCUUGCUUUUUAUUUUUUUAUUUUUGGGUGAGAAUUGAGCUAUUGACAUAUGGAUGUAUAUAGUUCCUACAAAUCACCAUGCAUCGGUUCCACUGCUAAUGGCUGCACCAGCCUACAUUAAGUAAAAAAAAGGUUAUCCAUUUGACAAAAUUCAAAUUUCAUUUUCAGUCAUAUAUUUCAAUGGACAUAAAAACUAAUCAAUUAUUUAUCACUCAUUUUUAUCUAUUUAUAAUUUUUUUGCAAAUUGUAUAGUUUCAUCGUUACUAUACACCAAUGUUUGAGCUCCAUUUUUUUUUUUUUUUUGCAAAAAAUGCAUUUAGGAAUAGUAUUUUGAUAUAGAAUGUGUGGUUAAAAAAUAAAGAAAAAUUUUGAACUUGCAUGUAAUAUUAUUAAAUUAAAGAAUAUUUGAUUAAAAAUAAGAGAAAGAGAAAUGUAUUUUAGAAAUAAUGGGGACAAAACAAGGACUUAUGUUCCUAAAUUUCUAUUGUGGGCUUGACAACCUUUAACCUUUUUGGUAUUAUUGAGUGGGAAAAUUUCAUAACUAAAAUGUUAAGUAUCACCCAUUUCAAAAUUAACAGCCUGUUUGGGAGUUUUUUUUUGCCCAAAAAAUUUAUUUUUGAUCGUUAUUUCACUAUUUCAACCGUCAUAUUUGACUUCUUUUCUCACAGGUGGACCCCACUUUUCUCCUAACGGUUAAAAAAUCAAUUCUCAAAAUCACUCCCAAACAGGCUCUAAAAUAAAAGGCUUCAAAUUUUUAAAAUCAGAUAUAUAUUAAAUUUUAUUUAUGAUUUAAUUAAUUAAUUAUGUAAUUUACUAAUCAAAUAUAUUAAAAUCACAAGUCUAUACAAUUAGGUCACAAAUUAACGAAUUAGUUAGUCACAUUUUAUUUUUUUAUUACAAAUCAGAAUUUUAAUAAGCUACAAAUUAUUUAACGGUCACAAUUCAAAAAUUGUAUAGGUCAUAAUUUGUUCAUUGAUCAUAAAUAAAAAAUUUAUAAGUCAUAAUUUAUUUAUCGGUCACAAAUCUCAAAUAAUAUAAGUCACAACUUAUUAUGCAAUCACAAAUUAUCAAAAUUAUCGGUUCCACGAUCGCCAUUGCAUCAACCACAUCACCUCUCGGCUCCACCGCUAGCAACAAGAUGAUCCACCACCCCACCAAUAAAACCACAGCCAUCACCGGAUACAACAUAACCUUCGCCAUCACUGGAUCCAACAACGCCACCAAACACCACCACCACCACCAUAGCCCUCACACACCAAUUGAAAACACACCCAAAAAACCUAUAGCAGAUUGUGACACUAUAGAUUCCGACAACGGUGCGCAACAAAUCUCAAUCACAAUUGAACCAGCGACAAUCUCGCCUACAGUGGCACAGCAGCUCUCAAAUGGUUUCAUAUAGGAAACAAUAACACCCAUAGCCCCUUCUCUCUUGCAUCGUUGCAUAGCAAUCGCCGCUCGUCUCAUCACUUUGUGGGCAGCAUCGUCAUCAUCUUUCCGAUCACGCUUAUCACCUUUGCUGUGUAGAAAGAGAAAGGAGAUUGGGAGAGAGAACGAAGUUGGCUAUGGCUAUAUGGAGAGAAAGAAGAUAUUGGGAAAUAAUUAGGGUUCAGAAUGGAAUAAGUUAGAUUAAUUAAUUUUUAUAUACAUUAAUUAAUUAACAAAGCAUCUGAUAUUUAGAAUUGAAAACUUGACAUGAUUUAUGAAAUGGAAUCUUGUAUGUAAUUUCCGCUUAUUGGGUUGGACAUGACUCGUGAGAAACUGAGCAAUUGAAGACCUGCUUUGUAGAUACAUUGUCAGCUGAAGUCCAAAGCAAGACCAACUAUUCCAAAGUAACUUGUUUUUUAAUUUUGAUAAAAGAACACCACCACCAAUCAGCAGUUCACUCAAAAAACUGGGGACGACCUAGUCAACCUUUGCGUGCCCAUGAGACCAACUAAGUCAUUUUCAAACCAGUUUUAUAAUAAUUAAGUCAAAAAUAAAAUAAAAUCAUGUCAUAAUGAAGUAACUUCUACGCAAUAUUUUCAUUUUCAGUUCAAGCGUAAAAUCUAAGAUUUCUUUGACCACGGACUGGCCUAAAAGCAGUGCUGCUACACUUAAAGACAGACCCCUGCCAGAUCUCUCACCGUCGCGGGCCCUGGCGUAACUUUUUUUUUUUUUUUUUCCUCAUGUGGGACCGACCCCUACAGUGAGGAGGGAUCGGUAAGACCCCUUGGAGGAAAUUGUUCUCCUAAAAGUUAUAAUGAUCAUCAGCAGUCAGCAAACAUGAAAUCCAAGAAGUUAAUAUGAUUGUUCAAACGACAAGUUUAUAAAAAUAAAAAGUGAAAAAGAAAGUUUACAGGAAGGCAUAAUUGUUGAGAAGUUUACUGGAAGAACAAAAAUGGGAAGUGAGGUGAAAUUAUCUAAAUAUACAACGGGUUCAGUUCACAAUCUUCAGGGAAAAAUUUCAGAAGUAGCAUUUCUUACAACAAAUUUCGAACAAUAGAUUACACUUUAUUCACGUUAUAAUAUUAUACAAAAUACAGUUAUAAUAUGGUACGAGUCUUACAGUAGAAAUCUUGAGAGAGCAAAGUGUACCACUCGAAAGUACGUAGAAAACUGUCCGCUUCUGGGAAUUUACCACCAAAGUUAAAUGAGAUUUUCCGUAUCUUGUUUUCGAAAUAUUAGGGGAAAUUCGUCGUCCUGUUCUAAGAAACCAUGUGCCUCGGCCAUGCUUUUCAGUGAUUCAUAGACCUGAUACAUAGACCACCUGUCCUUGGGCCGAGAAAUGACACAACUACAUGCGAUUCUCAAGAACCUCACGAUGUCCUCGUCAUUGCCCUUUCCACACAAGCUUUUAUCGAUAGCAUCUUUGAUUCGAGCAGAACCCGAAAGCUGGUUUACCCAGUCCACUAAGUUACCUUUAAAUCCUUCCCCGGACAAACUGACUUCAAGAGCUUUUUGCCCCGUUGCUAACUCAAGAAGUACAACCCCGAAACCAUAAACAUCCCCUUUAAGAGAAGCAUAUCCAAAUUCAUUUGAAUCCCCAUUGAUGUAACUGCUCUCAUCAGAUUCUGAAGGAGUCAGGAGUCUUGCCAAACCAAAGUCCAUUAUCCUAGGAUCAAAAUCCUCAUCGAGGAGAAUAAUGUCAGAGCUAAUGUUUUGAUGCCAUAUAGGAGGAUUGCAACCAUGGUGAAGCCAAGCAAGUCCCCGAGCAGCACCCAAACCGAUUCUAAACCUAGUUGACCAAUCCAAAGCACCCACAUUACGAUUCAAAAUUGAACACAAAGUCCCAUUAGACAGAUGCUUAUAAACCAAGAUCUUCUCCUCCUCCACCAAGCAAAACCCCAAUAGAGGCACCAAAUUUGGAUGCCUAAGUUGCCCUAACCUAUUCAUCUCCAUCCUAAACUGUUUCUCCCCCAUCUUACAAGUACUAAGCCGCUUAAUCGCAAGUGCCGACCCAUCCGGCAAAACCGCCUUGUAAGUUGUCCCCGUACUAGUUGAGACUAUAACAUUUUUCGCACUAAAACCAUUGGUGGCCACCAAUAAAUCCACCAACUUAACCUUCACUAGUGGCUUUUGAAACAAUACAAUUUGAGUAAGCUUGUGAGCACUCAAUCUUUCAACCCAACUGCUAACUUCAUCUCUCCCUUCAAUCCCAUAUCCUCUCUUUCUUUUUUUACUAAAACACCACCACCACAAACCAAACCCUAACAACAGAGAACCCACGGCACCGAAAACCCCAGCCGCUAUAAUAAUUGCCAAAUUCUUCUUACUCAAGCCCCCGCAUUUUCCCAAAGAUCCUCCACAAAGUCCACUGUUCCCACCAAAAUCAAGCUCCAAACCAUACUUAAACUCGGGAACCCUCCCAGAUAAAUCAUUAUUAGCAGCAGUAAACUUUGUCAACCUUCCUAAACUCGAAAGCUGAAUCGGAAUAUUCCCAGACAAUUUAUUAUCAUCCAAAAUCAAGUGAUUCAAAUAAUCGCACUUGGCGAGACUAGCCGGAAUUUCACCAGAUAAUUCAUUAUGGGACAAAUCUAAAGUAACCAAAUAAGGCAACCAAGUACAAAUUUGAGGUGGUAUCGAACCGGAGAGGGUAUUACCGGAGAGAUCAAGAGUCUGGAGGUUGUAGCAGAACUGUAAAGAAGCCGGGAUUUUUCCGGCGAGGCUGGAGUCCGGGAGUUCCAGGCUGUGAAGCCGAUUUUCCCGGUCGUUCCAGCACGUAACCCCAUCAAAAUUACAGAUGAAUCCAACGGUAGAAUUCGAGAACUUCC
rnacentral:lncRNA from 1 species